GUGCAGGGGAUGCCCAUCGUUUACUGUGAAAAAAUUAGAGUGUUCAAAGCAGGCUUAUGCCGUUGAAUAUAUUAGCAUGGAAUAAUGAGAUAGGACCUUGGUACUAUUUUGUUGGUUUGCGCACCGAGGUAAUGAUUAAUAGGGACAGUUGGGGGUAUUCGUAUUCCAUUGUCAGAGGUGAAAUUCUUGGAUUUUUGGAAGACGAACUACUGCGAAAGCAUUUACCAAGGAUGUUUUCAUUAAUCAAGAACGAAAGUUAGGGGAUCGAAGAUGAUUAGAUACCAUCGUAGUCUUA
rnacentral:rRNA from 1 species